rnacentral:sRNA from 1 species
GUUCAACAGUAGACACGCAAAUCAUUCAUUACCUUAAAUUAUAUAUCGCUUAGGGCAAAGGUACUUCAUUUUUAGGGCCUUUUUCAGCAAACCUGCAUGGUAAAUUUGAAGAAGAUAUUACCUGUAUUUUAAAAAAUAAAAGAGGCAAUUAUGAUAUUACAUUUAGGAAGACUAACACUGCCUUUUGAAUAUUAUUGCAAGCCUCGAAAAGUUGAGGUACCUUUAGCUUAACUUUAUUGCUUUAGCUUCAGUUUACAAGUUAUUAGAAUUUGCAAUGUUAAGAAAAUGUUUAUAAGAAUAAUGUAAUAAUAAUAAAUUAUUUUAUUUCUAAAAAAAAUGAAAGAUCUUUUAUUUUUAUAUUGCAUUUACAAUAGAACUUGUACAGCUUCUCCAACAUAUACAUAUAUUUACGAAAUAAGUCAAUGUAAAGGGGCAGAUCCAUUCAAAUGUAUUUCGUCAUAUACGUUUUUGCAAUGAUUAUACAAUUUAUGCAAAUGAUUGAUGAUACAUAUGCACAUUCAGCUCAGUUUUAAAUGUAUUAAAAUAUUCAAAAUAG